CAUACCAAAAGUCAUCUGUGAAACAUCACAUCCUUCUUCAUUACCAAAUAUCAUAUGCUUAAAGUGUGGAUCUAUGAAAAGUUAAAUGCUAAGGGCUAGGCCUGGUAGUGGGUUGGAUUCAAAUGGUUUUUAUGGUUCGGGCUCUCAACCUGGUCGUCUUUCGGUGGGUGGAAAUGGAUUGACUUCGCGAAUGGAUGGGUCUGGUGCGGUUUUAACGUAGAAAUGGUUUGGGGUGGUUUGGUUUUGGACUCGAACGCUUUGGUUUUGUAUGGGCUGAACCCGUGGGCAGAGGAGCAGCUAGCGUCGUGUCCAGCGUCUUCUCCGUCUUCCCCAGAUCCUUGCUGGGGGCCUAGGGUUGCGCUGCCACCGUCUCCCCCAUCCGGCGCUCCACCGCCGGCGUACCUAGGGCCGCCGGAUUCCGCGGAUCCGGUCCCUCACGCUGCCACAAGAUUGUUCCCCAAGGUCCUACUUUGCCACAAGAUUCCACCAAGACAACUUCCUUUUGCUCCAUCCGAUCUCAACUAAACCGCCCUUCACUAAAUCGGUAAGCAAUGUUAGAUUCUGUUUUUGGAUGAAUCCGAGGAUUGCUUUCCAGAAUUUUCGUUUUACUCCCGUUUUUGUUGUUCAAGUAGGUGCAGUACUAAUUGAAUACCUAUUUUAUUUGCAGGUACUGAUUGAGUAAAUGUACUUAAUUUGGCCGUUGGCUCCAAGUACUGCUUACAAGUGAUUAUUCACAUGUCCUAAUUUAUUUUUUAUUGUCUGUUCUGCUCACUAUGUUUAUGCAGAAUUCCCUAAUGCAUUGCUUGAAUGUAUAGAGAAUUAACUACUAAAUACUAAUAUUAAUUUCACAUAUACAGCAUGAGAGAUGGUUAUUUUGAUAGGGCAGUUGGUCCUUUGCUAAGAUGUUAUUCCAGAUUGACAGCACAUGUCCACUGCCUCCUCCUAGUCACCGAGACCUUCCACAUCUGCCCUGUGAGUGUAUCUUAGUUGUGUUGUAGAACUGCAAGUUUGUCCUGCUUAAUAUGGUCUGAUGCAAAUGGUUUUUUUUCGUUAGGAAAACAUAACCGUUGAUACUAGAGUUUCUUGUUAUGUCAUGAGAUGUUGUCUGUAAUUACUGAAUGUGCAAUGCCAAUCAUGCAGCCAGAGCAUUCUCUGCAUGUAUAUCUUCUAGUUAUGUGAAGCUUGUAUGAAUAUAUGAAAAAUCUGAAGCUUAUCAGUGAAGCUUAUCUGAAUAACUAUGUAUGUAAAAUCUCAAAAGUUAUAUGUGUGUAGCUACUGUUAGUUCAGAAUUAAUUGAACUGAAGCUUAAUUAUGUCGAGACUAAUUCCUGAUGUUUCGUCCCUGUAUAGAUAUCACAUGGGCCUCCCCUGCUAUGCAAAUAAUUUCCUUUCUAUAAGCAGAUCACUCCAUGUUUCAGGUGGUGAAGUGUUCACACAAAUCAUUGUACAAGUGUUGAAUGGAAGGAGUCCAUGAAGAUGGUGACAAAAUUGGUGUAAAAAGAUGGGGCUUUUGCUCACUGACCAGAUGCACUGAAGUUAUGGACCCUAGUAAAGUUACUUGUGUAGUUACUCCCUAGAAAUCAUGUCUAAUGAAGUAAUAAUUCAAUCUAUGUAACUAACCGUUAAUUAAGCAGACAUUUGAUGGGACUUGAUAGUUGCCAUUGUUUGCCUGGAAGGAUUUUUUUUUUUUUUUUGCAAUUGUCAUUUCACAUUACAUAAUAUUUGUUUCAUUUGGACAGCAGGGUUAACCUGUACUGCACCUUUAAUGUUUCACUUUAAGAGCUGAAGUACCGA
rnacentral:lncRNA from 1 species